AUAAAAAUAAAAAUGAUAAAAAGAAAAUCCAACACUAAUAAUAAAUUAGAACAAAAAAAACAUUUUUACCUUAAAUUUUAAACCCUAAACAUGCCCUAAACCCUAACUACAUAUCUCAAACCCUAUAUCUUAAAUUCCAUUUUAUACAUAAAUCUUCAAUUAAACAUUUUAAUCAAAACACUCAGAUUAUAUAUCAUACAGAAAUAUCCAACUUUAAACAUUAUAAUACAAACCCUACAUAUACCCCUAGCCCUACUUAUAACUCCAAACCCUAUAUCAUAUUCCAAACUCUAUACAAAAAGUAUUGAAUCUUAACAUUUUAAAUUUAUAACACUUAUUUAUACUAAAUUAUGAAAUUAUACAAACUAGAAAAUAUAAAUAAAAUCAGUAUAUUCAUAAUAUAACUUCAAUCCCUA
rnacentral:lncRNA from 1 species